rnacentral:lncRNA from 10 species
CAAGCGCCGCCCGCAGCCGCGGUUCCCGCCGGCGCCUCUCCCUCCACACCUCCCUGCAAGCUGAGGGAGUGGGCUCCGGCCUUGGCCAGCCCAGAAAGGGGCCCCCACAGUGCAGCGGUGGGCUGAAGGGCUCCCCAGGUGCAUCCAAAGUGGGAGCCCAGGCAGAGGAGGCGCCGAGAGCGAGAGAGGGCUGUGAGGACUGCCAGCACGCUGUCACCUCUCAGAACCAGGGGAGAAACCUGAGAAGUGUCUUUCAGCACACUACCUGGAUCCUAAUGGCUACUUCUGCAGAGAGAACACCAGAGGGGAAAGGAAUCUAUCAGAAGGCAAGCUCUGUAAAGAGUAUGCAAUGCUUCCCUGCACUGGUACAAAUAGAAGGAGAAAGGAUCCCUGAGUCACCACUUGAAAGAGAGUUACUGUGUCAAGAUACAUCAGCUUUGGAAUUUGUAUGAGUGAGAAUCCUUUAAGAGAGAUUUUCAAGCCACUGAAAUUUGAGAUUUUUGGUUAUAACAGCUAGAGUAUUUUCCCUAAUACACUACUAACCACAUUUUAGACUCACUUUUAAAAUAUUAUUCCCUAUUAGGUGAACCUGGAGUGCUCCUUUUCUGUAUUCAUCUAGCCUGUGCUCCAGCCCAUCUGCCCAAAAACUCAUUCCCUUUCAUCUGCAAAGAUUACAUCAAGGCAUGCCUUAAUUUGUGAUUCUAAAUAUGGCUAUAAAGUUUAAUUUUUAAGUAUCUUAAUUUUCAAAUAUGCCUACCAUUUGGAAACAUAGUAUUUUUACAACUGUUAUAUGUAAUUAGUGGUAUUUUAAGUGACAUGAGGUAUAAAUACCUGUCUUGUGUUGAAUAUUGUUUAUAGCUUCUUCCAGUUACAUGCAGGUUGUAUUAUUAUCCUGUUCCAAAAAUUCUUCACAAAAUAAAAACAAAGUGAUUCUUUGCCACUCAGCUUGUAAGAUAUUUCUCAAACUUUUAUCACUGCAUUUUUCAUUCUGUGACAAAUUGAUUCACUUCAUUUUUCUGUAUAUGAUAUCUAGUCCCAUAAUUUAAAAGAAAUGCAGAGAGCCAAGUCCUAAUUGCUUUCAUGCUUUUCUAAAGUAAUGAGUUCAACUUUCAGAUUGCCCUGCCAUAAAACUUUUAAUGGGAUAUAGAAUUUGCUUGUCACUUAUGUAUCCAGAAAUAUAUCAUUAUGGAAAACAUGGAAGAAAAAAUAUAUUUAUAUUUGUUAACCCCCCCAUUUAAAGUAAAAGAAAUACAGAUUCAAGUUUUCUUCUCCCAUGUACUGGCUGUGUGACCUGAGAGACCUUGUGUGACCUUGGCUUCCUCAUAUUUAUAACAAAAAUGUAAAAAAUAAAAUAAAUUAUUUUUGUGAGAUUUAAAACUGAUAAUAAUUCUAAAGUACUUUGUAUAAUUUCUGACACACAUAUUUAAAUAAAUAAUGUUUCUUA